rnacentral:rRNA from 1 species
CCUACGGGUGGCAGCAGUAGGGAAUAUUGCUCAAUGGGGGAAACCCUGAAGCAGCAACGCCGCGUGGAGGAUGAAGGUUUUCGGAUUGUAAACUCCUUUUGUUAGAGAAGAUAAUGACGGUAUCUAACGAAUAAGCACCGGCUAACCCCGUGCCAGCAGCGGCGGUAAUACGGGGGGUGAAAGCGUUACUCGGAAUCACUGGGCGCAAAGAGCGCGUAGGGGGGAUAGCAAGUCAGAUGUGAAAUCUUAUGGCUUAACCAUAGAACUGCAUUUGAAACUGUUAUUCUAGAGGAUGGGAGAGGUAGGUUGAAUUCUUGGUGUAGGGGUAAAAUCCGUAGAGAUCCAGAGGAAUACUCAUUGCGAAGGCGACCUGCUAGAACAUAACUGACGCUGAUGCGCGAAAGCGUGGGGAGCAAACAGGAUUAGAUACCCCAGUAGUC